rnacentral:lncRNA from 1 species
CUGCAGACAACCCUGAUGGACAGCCAGGGUUGAGCCCACUGGUCUAGACCCACUUCCUCAAACAUGGCACCGGGACUUACCGAUGACUUGGACGUGGACGCCGUAGGCAACAGCGAGGUCUUUGCAGAGGCCCGGGCCCAUUCGGAGCACCUGCUCGCAGGCAGAGCACCUCCCACCCACGUGCAGAUGGUGGCCUCUGGGGAGUGGAAUCAAGUGUGCAAUGACAGCGGCCGGGACCUGGGAGUGCUGCUUUUGCGAGUAAGUCUUGCAGGGUUAAUGGACUUGUAAAUUAUGUGAGUGUAAACCUUUCAUUCGCUUGUUUG